AACAAAUUGCAAGACAUUUUUAGUUUUCUACUUCUUUAGGGAUUUGGAUUCCCUGCAGUCAAAAAUUGACUGCAGGUGAAUCUCAACCACUCAUUUUAUUUAUGUUUUUUAUUUAUUUGAUGAGUAUUAAAUUUGGACUAUUAGAUAGUGUGAAUGCAUGACUGCAUGGUGAAAGUAAAUACACUCAAUCCAUAUCCCUUCUUUAGGACUUGGAAAAUUGUAUUUAAUUUAAUGUGAUAUCAAAUAGUAAAUUAG
rnacentral:lncRNA from 1 species